GAUCAACUCGUGAAUAUGUUUGAAUAUGUAGGGAUGGCCGCGGUGGUCAAACUCCUCGACCUCCCUUGUGCUGGGAGUGGGUGCCACGUUGUGUGCUCCCCUCCCAGCCCAACCCAAACCCCGGCGCUUAAUGUGCCAAGGAACUAAAAUUGGUUAAGUGCGCCCCUGCGGGCACUGGAGACGGUGAUCUCGCAGGAGGCGUGACGCAUGAUAUAUAAACGACUCUCGUGAAUUGCAGAAUCCCGUGAACCAUCGAGUUUUUGAACGCAAGUUGCGCCCGAAGCCAUUAGGUUGAGGGCACGUCUGCCUGGGCGUCACAUAUCGUUGCCCUAUGCCCAAUGCCCAUUGAUAGGCACUGUGCAGGGCGAAUGUUGGCUUCCCGUGAGCAUUGUUGUCUCACGGUUGGUUGAAAACCGAGUCCUUGGUAGGGUGUGUGCCAUGAUAGAUGGUGGUUGUGUGACCCACGAGACCGAUCAUGUGCGGCUCUACCGUCACUGGACCCUUUGACCCACUUGCGUCCUUGAACGCUCUUGA
rnacentral:rRNA from 1 species